AAUGAACGUUGGCGGCGUGGAUUAGGCAUGCGAGUCGUGCGAGAACCGUAGCAAUACGGGGACAGCGGCGAAAGGGAGAGUAAUGCGUGGAUACCUACCCUCGGGUCCAGGAUAGCUGUGGGAAACUACAGGUAAUACUGGAUGACAUCUCCGGAUCAAAGGUGUGAUUCCGCCCGGGGAGGGGUCCGCGUCCUAUUAGCUAGUUGGUGGGGUAACGGCUCACCAAGGCGAAGAUGGGUAUGGGGACCUGAGAGGGUGGCCCCCCACAAUGGAACUGAAACACGGUCCAUACACCUACGGGUGGCAG
rnacentral:rRNA from 1 species